rnacentral:tRNA from 1 species
GGUCCCAUCGUCUAGUGGUUUAGGACGUCGGCCUCUCACGCCGGUAACGGGGGUUCGAAUCCCCCUGGGAUCACCA